GACGAACGCUGGCGGCGUGCUUAACACAUGCAAGUCGAGCGAUGAAGUCUCUUCGGAGAUGGAUUAGCGGCGGACGGGUGAGUAACACGUGGGUAACCUGCCUCAUAGAGGGGAAUAGCCUUUCGAAAGGAAGAUUAAUGCCCCAUAAGAUUGUAGUACCGCAUGGUAUAGCAAUUAAAGGAGUAAUCCGCUAUGAGAUGGACCCGUGUCGCAUUAGCUAGUUGGUGAGGUAACGGCUCACCAAGGCGACGAUGCGUAGCCGACCUGAGAGGGUGAUCGGCCACAUUGGGACUGAGACACGGCCCAGACUCCUACGGGAGGCAGCAGUGGGGAAUAUUGCACAAUGGGGGAAACCCUGAUGCAGCAACGCCGCGUGAGUGAUGACGGUCUUCGGAUUGUAAAGCUCUGUCUUCAGGGACGAUAAUGACGGUACCUGAGGAGGAAGCCACGGCUAACUACGUGCCAGCAGCCGCAGUAA
rnacentral:rRNA from 1 species